UACAGGCUUAACACAUGCAAGGUCGAGGGGCGAGCAUUGGGAUAGCUGCUAUUCAGAUGGCGACCGGCGCGACGGGUGAGUAACGCGUAUCCAACCUCCUGCCAGUAGGGAACAGCCCGGCGAAAGUCGGAUUAAUGCCCUAUGUUCUUCAAUGCGGACAUCUAAGUUGAAGGAAAGAUUCAUCGCUGGCAGAUGGGGAUGCGUCCGAUUAGCUUGCCGGCGGGUAACGGCCCACCGGGCGACGAUCGGUAGGGGUUCUGAGAGGAAGGUCCCCCACACUGGUACUGAGACACGGACCAGACUCCUACGGGAGGCAGCAGUGAGGAAUAUUGGUCAAUGGGCGUAAGCCUGAACCAGCCAAGUAGCGUGCAGGAAUGACGGCCCUACGGGUUGUAAACUGCUUUUAUGCGGGGAUAAAGUGCGGCACGUGUGCCGCUUUGCAGGUACCGCAUGAAUAAGGGCCGGCUAAUUCCGUGCCAGCAGCUGC
rnacentral:rRNA from 1 species